CCCCUCUAUGAUGAUGUCAUCAUCUCUUACAUCCUCGCCGAUUUGGGAACUAAUUAUGAGUCGCUGGUUUCCACUUUUACUGCAGGGCCAGAUCCUCUUAAACUUAAAGAUGUCUAUUCUCUUCUACUGACAAGUGAGU